rnacentral:lncRNA from 1 species
CCAAAAAUAAAGUAUUUGCCAAUAAACUAAAAUAAAACUUUCAAUACUUGCUAAGAUUGUGAUGAAGUAAUCUAACAAAAUGAUGUGUGUCGGUAUGAGCAACGACCAGCGCAUCUGUACACAUUCUGCAUUGAAGCUUAGAAAGCUAGUGAUUCUUUAUUUUAUUUUUUGUUAGAAUUUGCAAAUAAUGAGCAUAAGCAAGAUUGAAGAAGACAUUUUUUUUUUGGUGAUAUAAAAGCCAAAUAAAUUAAUAAAGAAGGGAUUGAAUAUAAGAACAUGCUGUCUUUGUUCCACGUGUUGGGAAGUAAUUGAAACGCAUGUUAAAGGCAAUAAGAAGUUAAGAUGGCAAUAUGCCUUGAUCAAGCAAUAAAACAAUGGUAAAGGGGAGUGAUAACACCUACAAAUCUGAGCUUGACAUGCGUGGUUUCUUCACAGGUGAAGGUGAAGUGCGCUGUGUUGCCAGCAGUUGACUAUUGUCGGCAUAACCUGGAUCUUGUUAAGGUUUA